GGACGAACGCUGGCGGCGUGCUUAACACAUGCAAGUCGAACGAGAAUCUACUGAAAGAGUUUUCGGACAAUGGAAGUAGAGGAAAGUGGCGGACGGGUGAGUAACGCGUGAGGAACCUGCCUUGAAGAGGGGGACAACAGUUGGAAACGACUGCUAAUACCGCAUGAUGCAUAGGGGUCGCAUGAUCUUUAUGCCAAAGAUUUAUCGCUUCAAGAUGGCCUCGCGUCUGAUUAGCUAGUUGGCGGGGUAACGGCCCACCAAGGCGACGAUCAGUAGCCGGACUGAGAGGUUGAACGGCCACAUUGGGACUGAGAUACGGCCCAGACUCCUACGGGAGGCAGCAGUGGGGAAUAUUGGGCAAUGGGCGAAAGCCUGACCCAGCAACGCCGCGUGAAGGAAGAAGGCCUUCGGGUUGUAAACUUCUUUUAAGAGGGACGAAGAAGUGACGGUACCUCUUGAAUAAGCCACGGCUAACUACGUG
rnacentral:rRNA from 1 species